CCUACGGGAGGCAGCAGUGGGGAAUAUUGGACAAUGGGGGGAACCCUGAUCCAGCGACGCCGCGUGAGUGAAGACGUAUUUCGGUAUGUAAAGCUCUAUCAGCAGGGAAGAAAAUGACGGUACCUGUCUAAGAAGCCCCGGCUAACUACGUGCCAGCAGCCGCGGUAAUACGUAGGGGGCAAGCGUUAUCCGGAUUUACUGGGUGUAAAGGGAGCGUAGACGGUGCAGCAAGUCUGAUGUGAAAGGUCGGGGCUCAACCCCGGGACUGCAUUGGAAACUGUUGAACUGGAGUACAGGUGAGGUAAGCGGAAUGCCUAGUGUAGCGGUGAAAUGCUUAGAUAUUAUGAAGAACACCAGUGGCGAAGGCGGCUUACGGGACUGUAACUGACGUUGAGGCGCGAAAGCGUGGGGAGCAAACAGGAUUAGAUACCCGAGUAGUC
rnacentral:rRNA from 1 species